AUACAAGCAAUGAAAAGGACAUGAAUCAUUUUUGAAUUUUCUUUACAGAGAGUAGGGUCACUGGCUGAGAACCCUUAGAAAACGAAAUGAAUUUACCACCUUGGAGCUGCGGCGGGGAAUGUGUAUACACUGAAACCGCAACCGGUAAAACCGUUAUCUUUUUAAGCGUAAAAUACGUAUGGGUAUUUUACGGAAUUAGGGUGGUACCACGGCCGCAUUCGUCCCUUUA
rnacentral:ncRNA from 2 species